rnacentral:misc_RNA from 1 species
GUCUAAUACGACCAAGCUAAUAUUUGCUUGUUUCUUACACUUGAGGUAUGAUCCGAUCUUAAAGCCGUUGGAUCUUUUCUUGAAGGGUUAAUGAUGACCUUAU